GGUUGGGUGGUGUAGUUGGUUAUCACGUCAGUCUCACAUUUAAAUAUGUUCACUGAAGGUCCCCGGUUCGAGCCCGGGCUUAAUCA